GAUUACUGACAACUGUCUUAAAAGGCCAGAACAUCACUGGUCAAAGAACACAGAAAGGAAAGAAAGUAUUUCUGUGGGAAGUACUUCCUGUCAUACAGGCUCGAGUAGAAAAAAUGGAAAACCAGGGACAUUAUAAGGAAAUAGUUCGCUACUUGAAAGCUGUGAAAUGCAAUGACAUUCUAGGGUUAAGAAAGCUUAGAGAUAAAAUUCCAUUCUACUUGUGCAAAAGUGGAGACUUCAUUAGUGCUGUACAUUCAUUGUUGCUUCCCUUCAAUAACCUUGCAUGCUGUACCGCCUGCCGGAUAACCCCUUUCCAGUUUGAGAUCUACCUAAAGAUGUUCAGAACCGGGAGUGUUCCCU
rnacentral:lncRNA from 1 species